GUACUUGCUUCAGUAGCACAGAUACUAAAAUUGGGCCGAUAUAGGUAAGAUUAGCACGGCCCCUGUGCAAGGAUGACAAGCAAAUUUAUGGAGAGGUGGUCUCUACUG
rnacentral:snRNA from 1 species